CCUUCAUUUAUUUUAAAAAAUAAAUUUAAUUGAAAAUAUAAUAUAACUAACCUUUCUACGUUAAAAUCAUCCGGUCUAAGUUUAAAGCCUAGCUGUUUUAUAUUUUUAAUUAUAUUUAUAUAUAAAAAAAUGAAGCUCUUAAAAAAAGGGUUAAUCUCAUACAUGUUUCUGCAAAUAUAGUGAAUAGCAAAUGUAUUCGUAUAAAAUUUAACUUUCAUAUAUUGUCUUUUCAAAAGUCUUAAUAUUUUCAAAUAUGUUCGUACCGUUAGAAUCCGUUAGAAAAAAUUAGUUAACCAUAAGUUAAAUACUUAACCCUAGUUAGUUUUUGAUAUUUUUAUCCAUUUAUAUUAUGCUAGUAUGGCUUUUGGAGAGAUAUAUUUAUGAUAGCAGCAUUGAAAAUAUAAACGGUUCUCUAAUAAUGGUAACAAGUCAGAGGGAUAUAUUUAAAAAUAUUAGGACUUUUGUAGGAACUACGUAUGAAAGUUGAAUUUUGUAGGGAUGUUUUUAUCAUUCAUUAUUGUAUGAAAUUAACAAAAAAAAAAAAAAA
rnacentral:lncRNA from 1 species